UACGUAGGUGGCAAGCGUUGUCCGGAUUUACUGGGCGUAAAGAGCUCGUAGGCGGUUUGUCGCGUCUGCUGUGAAAACCUAAGGCUCAACCUUGGGCUUGCAGUGGGUACGGGCAGACUGGAGUACUGCAGGGGAGACUGGAAUUCCUGGUGUAGCGGUGGAAUGCGCAGAUAUCAGGAGGAACACCGGUGGCGAAGGCGGGUCUCUGGGCAGUAACUGACGCUGAGGAGCGAAAGCGUGGGGAGCGAACAGG
rnacentral:rRNA from 1 species